rnacentral:rRNA from 1 species
GCAAACGCGGAGGGAGUAGCGGGGGGAAUAGGGUGGGGGCUGGGGUGGUUCGGGAUUACUGGGGGUAAAGGGAACGUAGGCGGGCCAGAAAGUGGGGGGUGAAAUCCCGGGGCUCAACCCCUGAACUGCCUUCAAAACGCCUGGUUGUGAGGUCGAGAGAGGGGAGUGGAAUGCCGAGUGUAGAGGGGAAAUUCGUAGAUAUUCGGAGGAACACCAGUGGCGAAGGCGGCUCACUGGCUCGAUACUGACGCUGAGGUGCGCAAGCGUGGGGAGCAAACAGGAUUAGAUACCCCAGUAGUC